rnacentral:tRNA from 1 species
GCCUGGGUGGCUCAGUCGGUUAAGCAUCCGACUUCGGCUCAGGUCCUGAUCUCACCGUUUGUGGGUUCAAGCCCCACUACGGGCU